GUCUGAUGGGUGCGAUACAUUGAAGGGGUCAGAGAUUG
rnacentral:snoRNA from 1 species